UACGUAGGGUGCAAGCGUUAAUCGGAAUUACUGGGCGUAAAGCGUGCGCAGGCGGUUUUGUAAGUCUGUCGUGAAAUCCCCGGGCUCAACCUGGGAAUUGCGUUUGAUACUGCGGCGCUGGAAUGCAGGAGAGGAUGGCGGAAUUCCCAGUGUAGAGGUGAAAUUCGUAGAUAUUGGGAAGAACACCGGUGGCGAAGGCGGCCAUCUGGCCUGUAAUUGACGCUGAGGCGCGAAAGCGUGGGGAGCAAACAGG
rnacentral:rRNA from 1 species